ACGGGUGAGUAACACGUAGGUAACCUGCCUCUAAGACUGGGAUAACUAUCGGAAACGAUAGCUAAGACCGGAUAACUGGUUUUCUCGCAUGAGAGAAUCAUAAAACACGGAGCAAUCUGUGGCUUGAAGAUGGGCCUGCGGCGCAUUAGCUAGUUGGUGAGGUAACGGCUCACCAAGGCGACGAUGCGUAGCCGACCUGAGAGGGUGAACGGCCACACUGGGACUGAGACACGGCCCAGACUCCUACGGGAGGCAGCAGUAGGGAAUCUUCCGCAAUGGACGCAAGUCUGACGGAGCAACGCCGCGUGAGUGAUGAAGGUUUUCGGAUCGUAAAGCUCUGUUGCCCUAGACGAACAGCAAGGAGAGUAACUGCUCUUUGUGUGACGGUAUAGGAGAAGAAAGCCCCGGCUAACUACGUGCCAGCAGCCGCGGUAAUACGUAGGGGGCAAGCGUUGUCCGGAAUUAUUGGGCGUAAAGCGCGCGCAGGCGGUCAUUUAAGUCUGGUGUUUAAUCCUGGGGCUCAACCCCAGUUCGCAUCGGAAACUGGAUGACUUGAGUGUAGGAGAGGAAAGUGGAAUUCCACGUGUAG
rnacentral:rRNA from 1 species